rnacentral:rRNA from 1 species
UACGAAGGGGGCUAGCGUUGCUCGGAAUCACUGGGCGUAAAGCGCACGUAGGCGGUUUUGUAAGUUAGAGGUGAAAGCCUGGGGCUCAACUACAGAAUUGCCUUUAAGACUGCAUCACUUGAACACGGGAGAGGUGAGUGGAAUUCCGAGUGUAGAGGUGAAAUUCGUAGAUAUUCGGAAGAACACCAGUGGCGAAGGCGGCUCACUGGACCGUUGUUGACGCUGAGGUGCGAAAGCGUGGGGAGCAAACAGG